GACGAACGCUGGCGGCGUGCCUAAUACAUGCAAGUAGAACGCUGAAGGAGGAGCUUGCUUCUCCGGAUGAGUUGCGAACGGGUGAGUAACGCGUAGGUAACCUGCCUGGUAGCGGGGGAUAACUAUUGGAAACGAUAGCUAAUACCGCAUAAGAGUAGAUGUUGCAUGACAUUUGCUUAAAAGGUGCAAUUGCAUCACUACCAGAUGGACCUGCGUUGUAUUAGCUAGUUGGUGGGGUAACGGCUCACCAAGGCGACGAUACAUAGCCGACCUGAGAGGGUGAUCGGCCACACUGGGACUGAGACACGGCCCAGACUCCUACGGGAGGCAGCAGUAGGGAAUCUUCGGCAAUGGACGGAAGUCUGACCGAGCAACGCCGCGUGAGUGAAGAAGGUUUUCGGAUCGUAAAGCUCUGUUGUAAGAAAAGAACGAGUGUGAGAGUGGAAAGUUCACACUGUGACGGUAUCUUACCAGAAAGGGACGGCUAACUACGUGCCAGCUGCCGCGGUAAUACGUAGGUCCCGAGCGUUGUCCGGAUUUAUUGGGCGUAAAGCG
rnacentral:rRNA from 1 species